rnacentral:rRNA from 1 species
GCAAACAGGAUUAGAUACCCUGGUAGUCCACGCCCUAAACGAUGUACACUAGUUGUUGUGAGGCUAGACCUUGCAGUAAUGCAGUUAACACAUUAAGUGUACCGCCUGGGGAGUACGGUCGCAAGAUUAAAACUCAAAGGAAUAGACGGGGACCCGCACAAGCGGUGGAGCAUGUGGUUUAAUUCGACGAUACGCGAAGAACCUUACCUGGACUUGACAUAGAAAGAAUAACGCAGAGAUGUGAUAGUGCUAGCUUGCUAGAACUUUCAUACAGGUGCUGCACGGCUGUCGUCAGCUCGUGUCGUGAGAUGUUGGGUUAAGUCCCGCAACGAGCGCAACCCUCGUCGUUAGUUGCUAACAGUUCGGCUGAGAACUCUAACGAGACUGCCUGGGUAACCAGGAGGAAGGUGAGGACGACGUCAAGUCAUCAUGGCCCUUACGUCCAGGGCUACACACGUGCUACAAUGGGGCAUACAAAGAGCAGCGAUACCGCGAGGUGGAGCAAAUCUCAAAAAUGCCUCCCAGUUCGGAUAGUAGUCUGCAACUCGACUACUUGAAGUUGGAAUCGCUAGUAAUCGUAGAUCAGCAAUGCUACGGUGAAUACGUUCCCGGGUCUUGUACUCACCGCCCGUCACACCAUGGGAGUUGAACUCAUUCGAAGCGGGGAUGCUAAAGUAGCUACCCUCCACAGUGGAUUCAGCGACUGGGGUGAAGUCGUAACAAGGUAACCGUAGGAGAACCUGCG